rnacentral:rRNA from 1 species
GGGUUAAGUCCCGCAACGAGCGCAACCCCCUGUCCUAUGUUGCCAGCAUUAAGUUGGGGACUCAUAGGAGACUGCCGGCGUCAAGCCGGAGGAAGGUGGGGAUGACGUCAAGUCAUCAUGCCCCCUUAUGUCCUGGGCUGCACACGUGCUACAAUGGCCGGUACAAAGGGCAGCCACUUAGCGAUAAGGCGCGAAUCCCGUAAAACCUGUCUCAGUCCGGAUUGGAGUCUGCAACUCGACUCCAUGAAGUUGGAAUCGCUAGUAAUCGCAGAUCAGCACGCUGCGGUGAAUACGUUCCCGGGCCUU